rnacentral:rRNA from 1 species
CACCUCUGGUGCACCAGUUGUCACGCCAGUGGCACAGCUGGGUAGCUAUGUGCGGACGGGAUAAGCGCUGAAAGCAUCUAAGCGUGAAGCCCCCUUCAAGAUGAGACUUCCCAUAGCGCAAGCUAGUAAGACCCCUUAUAGACGAUGAGGUUGAUAGGUUCGGUGUGGAAGUGCAGUAAUGCAUGGAGCUGACGAAUACUAAUCGGUCGAGGACUUAUCCACA